rnacentral:lncRNA from 1 species
UUCUUAUGUUGUACUGUUAUACCACUGUCCCAGGUUAGGGGGAGGGUUGGGAUCCCGCUAACAUGUUUAACCCCGCCACAUUAUUUAUGUAUGUGCCUGUCCCAAGUCAGGAGCCUGUAAUUCAGUGGUUGUCGUUUGUUUAUGUGUUACAUAUUUGUUUUUUCGUUCAUUUUUUUACAUAAAUAAGGCCGUUAGUUUUCUCGCUUGAAUUGUUUUACAUUGUCUUAUCGGGGCCUUUUAUAGCUGACUAUAAGCGGUAUGGGCUUUGCUCAUUGUUGAAGGCCGUACGGUGACCUAUAAUUGAUAAUGUUUGUGUCAUUUUGGUCUUUUGUGGAUAGUUGUCUCAUUGGCAGUCAUA